GACGGAGGGGGCAAGCGUUGUCCGGAAUCACUGGGCGUAAAGCGCACGUAGGCGGGACGGUGCGUCGGUGCUGAAAGCGCCAGGCUUAACCUGGCGAGGCGUGCCGAUACGACCGACCUCGAGGCAGACAGAGGGUGGCGGAAUUCCGGGUGUAGUGGUGAAAUGCGUAGAGAUCCGGAGGAACGCCGGUGGCGCAAGUGGCCACCUGGGUCUGACCUGACGCUGAGGUGCGAAAGCGUGGGGAGCAAACCGG
rnacentral:rRNA from 1 species